AAAGAAAAAAAGUUAGGUUGUAGUAUGUUUAGUGGACUUUGUUGUCUCCAUAUUAUUCCCUUGCAUUAGUAUUGUGCCUUUGUUAGUGCUUAGUGUUAUUACUUCUCUCUCUAUUUUUCUGGUUAUUACGUUGUUGGAUCUUUCUGGAUUUCUUUGCUGUUGCUAAUACACUUUCUUUUUCUUUCUUCUUGUACCGAGGAUCUACCGGACUAGGAAGCAAAUAGUUUUGGAGGAUGACCAGAGUAGUCCCCAAGCUCAACCUUUAGAGACCAUGCAACUCAAUUUUGUUGAUGAACCAGAAGAUGUUCUGACUGUAAUUUCGGAUGUGAAAGUUGCUGAACCAUCUCUAAUACUGGCCACAGACCUGAUUGAAGAGUUGUUUGAUCAAUGGUUCGGGGACCAUGGUGGUGAAGACCAUCAUGUUGAUCUUAUUAAUGAAGGUCAACUUCCCACAGCUCCAACUUAGUGCCUUCCGUCCCUGUUCAAAACAAAGUUGGCCCUUCUCAAGAAAGGAAGGGGCACGUGAUGGUGAAAGUCCUGGAAAAUAUAAAUCUUGUAAAGAGACCUGACCGGGCUUGUGUAUGGCUAAAACCAGUCAUUGGACCUCUUGAGAAAGAAAAGUUGUAGUCGCAUUGUUUAAUUACCCUUGCAAAUGAUAUUGUUCAUUCAGCUCUUACGAGUUUAUGCGAAGGAUUGCUUGGACUGGACAACAAGUGGAAAAAUUAUCCGCGGAGGCUUAUAACUAGAAAGCACAAUUUGAAUGCCUUUAGUUUGAGAAGGAGGAGUGAGACAAAGAAAAGGAACUUCUGCAACAACUGCUCCAGUUGACAACCGUUGAGUUAGGUACGAUGAAGGCCGAGGCAAGACAAGCAGAGAAAGAAAUGGUUAAAAUGGAGGCUAGCUCUACUAAGCAACACUCCAGGGCCACAAAGGAGAUUCGAAGGUUGAAAGACUUCUUGACCAAAAAGAGAUAUACACAGGUGAACUAGUUCAGGAGUUUACUCAAGCCAAAGAGGAUCUCCGUGCCUCUUCUAAAAGGAUUCAAUUCCUCGAGUAUUCCUUGGAACCUUUGAAAGUUUCUUAUGAUGUUGCUGAAGUAGAGAAGGUGAACUUACAAGCUGAAGUUGAUCAAUGGAGAGAAGUAUGAUGCCCUCAAGGGCAAAUUGACUAUGGAUGUAAGCUGAGCAUAUCUCCAUACUCGCUUUGUCACUUUGACUUAAGCCAGUCAAGAAGGUUUUGACCAUGAUGCUGCACUUAUAAAGGCUAAGGAAGCCAUUGAAGUAUCUCAGCAAGGUCAAAAUUUCCCUAAUCCUGAAGAAGAGUGUUCUAGGGGUGGUAUAGGUAAAGAAGAUGUGGAGGAAAAACCUCACCCUCCAUCUUCGAGUCCCCAAGCUAAUCCUUCUCAACCUGCCUAUCCUUUCCCAGUUGUUACUCCUUCACAACAAGUCGUUUCUCUAGAUCAUUAGCUUUUAUUAUUUUCAAGUGUUUUUAUCUAUCUUUGAAAUAUUUUUUGCAAACUUUCCUUGCCUUUAAUACAAGUUUUCUUUACUUUGCUAGUUCAA